UAUAAAAUCCCCUUUCUACCUUCCAUCCAGUUUAGCAACUAGUGGUUUGAAGUCAAUGUAUUAUUUUUAAUUUAUAAAUACUACAAAUUCAUUUUACAGUAAAAACUAAAAAAAGAAAGAAAAAGAAAGAUGAAAAGACCCAUAACAAGUAUCAGAGUAAAGGAAGUAAAAUCACUCGUGCUUCCUGUGAGAGUCAUAUGCCACUUGUGCUGAUCUCAAAGCGCUUUUCUCUACAGUGAGCCUUGGUGUUGAUCAGAAAAGAAAGCAUAAUGCUGAUCCUGAAUCAGUGUAAAAGGUCUGUUUGUACCCCAUGAGCUCAGAUGAAAGAGGAAGAGUGUGUGUAGGCAUGUGGUGGAGGCGUGUUGCAAUAGUUGGUCCUAUGGUGCAAUAUACAUCGUGUGUUCAGUAGGUAUAGCUUUGUGGUUCAUCUGUGGUGAACAGAACAUUUCCGACUCCUAUUUUACUCUCUUUUUUUAAUUGAAAGAGGUGGAACAGAUUGCCUCAUGUGGUCGUCUGUGGGUUGGUAACUGAAGGGCACAGACAUUUUCCUCAGGAAAAGGAAAUGUAAGAUGUAUUGAUUUGAAGAUAUUAAGAAAUCAGGAGUCUGGUGAGGUUUUUUUUCAUAUGUUUGUGCCCCCUCCAGCACUAUAAGCCUUAUAAAGAGUCUUACGGUGACAUCAUGAAGUUGGUAUAACACCGCAAUGAACAAGUGAGUGGUCUUCAAUUCAAACACCCUUCUGUUUGGGGAAGCGAGAAUGGCGUUUCCAACACAACGCAACAACAGUGCCAAGGCAUUGGAACCACAUAAAUCUUUGACCUUUCAUGUACUUGCACAAACAUAUAACCAUUGAUAAUCACAAAUUGAAUAAAUGAGACUCUACCUUUAUAACUGAGUUAAAACUCAGAAUAGUAGUCAAUAGUAGUAUAUGGCAUGUUUGCUGAUAGAAGCAAACUCUGUGCCAACUUUAUUAGCUACAUUUGCAUAGAAUUUCAGGUAGAAGAGUAAAUCAUGAUUAACAUGGAAAAAGAUGAGCUUUAGUCUCUAACCAAACACCUACAAGGUGAAGUAACAAGCUAGUCAUUAAAUUCCCAGCAAUGUUGUGCUAAGAAUGAUCCACUAACGGGGUGGACAACUCAUAAAUUCAUUAGCUAGCCCAAUUGGCAAGCGGAAGCUCCAUGUUUUGGUUGUGGAAAUGUAAUUGAUUAGGCUAAAAAAUGCUAUCUAAAGUAAUGUAUAGAAAUUCCCACAUAGUAGAUGACUAUAGCCAUAGUUAUUAUCCUGUUCUAAGACAGUGUCUGAGAUUUACUGUUUGUAUACUGUAUUUACAUCCUCAGCAAAAAGUCAGCAAGUCAUUGGCCAACAUUUUGGCUAUGAGAUGUUGUUUUUCUCUUCACGUUGCACGUAAAUGAUAUUAUUUGAGCAUCUUUAGCUUUGGCUUUGUUUUAACGCAAUGAAGGCGUUCAGUAAGCAGGAGUGUGUUCUAUUUUGCACUUUAUUUUGCUCAAUUGUCUGAAUGUUUCACACAUUCUUGUGAAUGUUCCUGAUUCUGAAAAUAUGGUCACUAAUUAAUCAACCUGGUAAAACCCGAUGUGUGUAGUGCAGCAGGUAGCUACAGCAUUGCAGUGUGUCAGAUCACUAUGACGCAUACGGUAUACACAGUACAUAAAAAAUAAAAACUUCUGUUUUGAGAAUAGUAAGAAAGCUUUUCUUUCUCUAAUUGUUGAAUGAGAGAAGAAAAAAAACACUGGCCACCUUUAGACUACUGAGUGUACUUAUCUUGUGGGAAUCUAUGAAUAAAAAAACUUGUAUCCUGGGCACAUAAUAUUCCUGCCCUGGGGAAUUGGGAUACCCUGGUCUUCGUCCACCCCUGAGUAUCUACAUAAUAUUUGGACAGUGGUGGGGUCCUGUUGUGGUUUCUGUCCCACAGAGUUAGUAAUUGUAUAUCUACAAAUUGCACAUCUCUCUUUCUCUCUCUCUCUGUUUCCUCUCUUUCUGUCCCUAGACACACUGUGUGUGUGUGUGUCAUUGUAUUUCAUAUCAAUAUUAAUUCAGAAAUUUUUUUACAAUUUCAGGAGACAUAAAAUCUUUUACUAAUCAUACCAUAAAUCAUAGGCUUUACAAAACAACCCAUGUAACUAAGAGAUAGUUGCUAGCUAACAUUUUGAGGAAGCUCGCUGAAAACAUAAUGAGAGCAUGUAUGAUGUUGGGCUUCUACAGCCAUAAAUAGUAGAAGUGAAACAACACAAUCUGCAGCUAUCUGCUUCCAGAGCUUUGCCAAACUUCUUAAUUCAGUUUAGUCAAAUUCGAUUCUAUUUUAUUUGUAUAGUGCAGGGGUUCCCAGGUUCCCAACUAGGGGUCAGGUUUGGGAUAUCGCUCUUAUUAUGAAGACAUUUUUUUGAAGGAGCCACAUUCAAUCAAGCCGUUUAUAUGAAGUGUGUACAUGCUAUUUGAGUCGUUUUUGCUAUCCUGACAUGCUACUCUAGCACAGGAGUGUUUCUCCAUUCAUCUACAUCCGUAAUUCCUUAACAAUAAUGAAGGGAUCAACAGAAUUCAAAGAAAACAAACACAAAAAUAUGCAGAAAUAUUUAUUCAAUAGGGAUUUACAAGUCUAAAUUAUAAAUCUGGGAAAAACAUUUAGCAUGGUUAAGGCUUGGGACUGUAGAACAUUUGUAAUGCCCAAAAGUUUGGGAAGGCCUGUUAUAUCACUGUUAAAAAAUAGACAUUGUCACAAUGCAGCUUUCUAGAAAUCCAGCCCUAGAUUCCUAAUUAGCGAACCAGAGGCAACAGUGGCAAGAAAAAUUCCUUAAGAAGACAUAAGGAAGAAAUCAUGAGAGGAAGCAGACUCCAAAGCCAGCCCAUCCUCUUCUGAGUGUCACCGGAUAGUAAUCAUUACAAUCAGAUUUGGAUCAUUCUGUGCCAACCAGUUAUACAUCCUGUGUGACAAAUACACCAUGAAUUUCCUACAUGUUGUCGAGUGAUUUUACAGUAUAUUAUUAUUUAUUCUUUGCUAUUGUCCUGGCAGGGUUCUCUUGUGGAUUUCCAGUUGAAUCGACCUUCCUUACGUAAACCUCUCUUUUUCAGCUGUUGCCAGAAAACACAGAGCUCGGUUCAGACCUGGGAUGUAUUUGAGCAGCCUGCGUCUGAUGCUUGUGCGUUUGGGUUUCCUCUGCAGCGAGCUGAACGCGCCACACUGCUGCUUUUCUCCAGCGGGCGCCGAGGACGAUGAUGAUGCCGAUGAGGAAGAGCCCCUCAGG